ACUAAACGUCAUCAUUCACCAGAGGGAUGUUCAAAAUCAAAUGGGAGAAGUCUGGCAGGAGCAACUGAGCCACUUAUCGAAUUACGUGUCAACUACUUAAGCUUCUGUGGGGUAAUGAAUUUACAAAACCUAUUGAGUGGGAUUGCAUUCAGACAAAUUGAUGGAUGGGUUCUCUCGGAGUAGGAUUGAUAAAAAAGGAUGUUCACUGUCCGUUCAUUUUCAUAGUCUAAUGUUAUUACGGAGAAGGCUUCACUGGAGUUUAGAAGGACCUCUUUGGGUGUUCUUUCAUAACUCUGAUAGCUUCGUUAAAAAUAAAAAUUUCAGCAUUAAUAAAAGAAAAAAUAAAUUAUAGAUAAGUCCCUAUCAAUAUAAUAAAGUUUAUAAUUUCAGUGUCCUCAUAAUGACGUUAUACCCAAUAAUAAAUAAAAAUAAUUAAUAUCAUAAUCAUAACAUAAUACCGCACUUCGAUCAAAUUCAAAUAAAAUAAUUAUUAAUAAGAAUCUCUUUCCUAAUGAAGUAGUUCAAUCUACUCUCUUAUGAAGCUUGGAAGUUUGAAUUUUCAUCCUGCCAUCCCUUGUGGAAUACGGAGUUCCGAAUAAGACGAAGAGCAUCUCUUAAGUGGAUGAUCAAGUUAAAAGUUUCUUCCUUUGGUCUUAAUUAUUGGAAAACCUAAAAGUCCACUGAGUUUAGUUUUGUAUUUUGCACUCGAAUAUAAAUUAUAUUCUUGGCUUAAUUUCAUUAGAAAUUUGGUGUUCCCCUGUAUUAACGAUGGAAAGAGAUAUUUUCUAAUAAUAAUUUCCACUAGUCAUUCGAGGUAUUACAUCUUUUGAUCUUAAAUUUCGUGAACAGCUUAUGUGCCUUUCAAGAUUGCAAUCUUCAAUUCAGGGAUUUAUUCUGGAAACUCUGCUGAUGGUAAAACCCAUUCUCAAUUUUAUAUUGAUUUAGUAUCCUAAUAAAGAAAUGUAUAAUGCUCUUGUAAAACAGAGCUUGUAUCUAAAAUCAUGGGGAAUAGCAAAGAAGA
rnacentral:lncRNA from 1 species